rnacentral:rRNA from 1 species
AAAGCUCGUAGUUGGAUUUUAAGGGUACCAGUCUUGAUCGGUCUUCUAGUAUCGCAUCUUGGCCUGGUUCCUCUUAUUUUGUGUCUGCGCGCGGUUGGAAUUCGUUUUCUGAUCGUGCAUUGGACGCGUGUUUACUUUGAGAAAAUUAGAGUGUUCAAAACAGUCUCUUUGAUUGUAUAUCAUAGCAUGGAAUAAUAACUGAUGACUUCGGUCAAUUGUUUAUUGGUUUGGAUGGCUGAUGUAAUGAUUGAUAGAGUUAGUCGGAGAUAUUAGUAUUUUAUCGCUAGAGGUGAAAUUCAUGGAUCGAUAAAAGACUAACAACUGCGAAAGCAUUUAUCUAGGAUUUGCUCUUUGAUCAAGAACGAAAGUUGGGGGAUCGAAGACGAUCAGAUACCGUCGUAGUCUCAACUUUAAACUAUACCAGCUAGGGGUUGGCAAAUGUUUCCUUUGACUUUGUCAGAACCUUAUGAGAAAUCAAAGCAUUUGGGUUCCGGGGGGAGUAUGGUCGCAAGGCUGAAACUUAAAGGAAUUGACGGAAGGGCACCACAAGUUGUGGAUCCUGUGGCUUAAUUUGACUCAACACGGGAAAACUCACCAGGUCCAGACAUAGUAAGGAUUGACAGAUUGAU